GGAUCCACGGGGAUGCUGAGC
rnacentral:miRNA from 1 species